ensembl:lncRNA
GCAGCCCAGGGGUGGGGUCUUGACUUUUGCUCCUUUUUCUAAUAUCCUAUUCUAUCUCUUGAUUUCUGCAUAGGCUUUCUUCAAAUGUCCAUUGGUUUCCAACCCUGUUCCCUCAGUAUCCUGAUAAUGGGUUCUCAUUCAUUUUUCUCCCGUAGGGCCCCCGGUUUGUAACCACUUCUUUGUUAUAUGGGUUCGACAUACCAACAGUACUCAGGGGUAUUCCACAUGGUUGUCUGCCCCAUGUGUGAUGAUCCUUGAGCCAGCCCUAUGGCACAGAAAAUUCACUCUUCCCACAGUCAUCCAAUAAGGUAACCCUGUGCUCCAGGGUAAACACCAUCAUGCACCUGUAGUGCCUCACCUCGCAGCCCAGGGGUGGGGUCUUGCUUUCUUCUCAAUUUUCAAAUAUCUUGGCUAUUCCCUGUAUGGUUUGUAACAGCAAAGGCUUUCUUAUUGUUUAUUGCAUCCAACACCUUACCCUCAGAGUCCUGUAAAGGUUUCUCAUUCAUUCUCCAACUGUAGGGCCCCCGGUUUGUAACCACUUCUUUGUUAUAUGGGUUUGACAUACCAACAGUACUCAAGGGGAUUCCACAUGGUUGUCUGCCCCAUGUGUGAUGAUCCUUGAUCCAGCCCUAUACACAGAAAAUUCACUCUCCCCACAGUCAUCCAACAAGGUAACCCUCUGUUCCAGGGUAAACUCCAUCAUGCACCUGUAGUGCCUCACUUUGUAGCCCAGGGAUGGAGUCUUCAUUUUAGCUCCCUUUUCUAAUAUGCUUUUCUUCCACUUGAUUUCUGCAAGUUUUUUCUUAUUCUGUACAUUGGACCUCCACAUUAGCCCCUCAGUGUGGUCUAAAUAUUUCUCAUUCAUUCUCACCCAUAGGUCUGGUUGUAACCACUUCUUUCUUAUAUAGUCUUGACAUUCCACCUUUACCAAUGGGGAUUCCACACGGUUCUCUGCCCCAUGUGGAAUCUUAUUGGUCCAAGUCCCAUAGUAAAGAAAAUGCACAAUUCCCAUAGUGAUCCAAAAAGUUUACCCUGACUGCCAUGAUACAUCUGUAGUGCCUCACCUCGCAGCCCAGGAAUGGGGUCUUGACUUUACCUCUCUUUUCUAAUAUCCUGUUUUCACUUUUGAUUUCUGCACAGUCUUUCUUACUCUGUUCAUUGUUUUCUAACAAUAUCCCCUCAGCAUGUUCUCAAUGUUUCUUAUUCAUUCUCACCCAUAGGCUCUCAGUUUGGAACCACUUCUUUGUUAUAAGGAGUUGACAUCCCACCUUUACUAAUUGGGAUUCCACAUGGUUGUCUGCCCCAUGUGGAAUCCUAUUGGUUCAAGUCCCAUAGCAAAGAAAAUGCCCAUUUCCCACAGUGAUCCAAAAAGGUUUCCCUGUCUCCCAGGGUAAACACCAUCAUGCACCUGUAGUGCCUCACCUUGCAGCCCAGGGGUGGGGACUUGACUUUAGUUCUCUUUUCUAAUAUACUAUUCUUGCACUUGAUUUCUGCACAGGCUUUCUUACACUGUACAUUGGUCCCCAACACUAUCCCCUCAGUAUAGGCUAAAUAUGUGCCCCAUAGGGUUCCAGGUUUGUAAUACUUCUUUGGUUUAUGGACUUGAUAUCCCAUCCUUACCAAUGGGUAUUCCACAUGGUUCUCUGCCCCAUGUGGAAUCCUAUUGGUCCAAGUCCUAUUGCAAAGAAAUGCACGAUUCCCACAAUGAUCCAAAAAGGUUACCUUGACUGCCAGGGUAAAUACUAUGAUACACCAGACUGCCUCACCUCAUAGCCCAGGUAUGGGGACUUGACUUUUGCCCCCUUUUCUAAUAUCCUCUUCUCCAUUUUAAUUUCUGUGCAGGCUUUCUUAAACUGUUCAUUGGCCUCCUACUCUGUCCCUCAGUGUACUGAUAAAGGUUUCUCAUUUAUUUUUCUCCUGUAGGGUCCCCAGUUUGUAGCCACUUCUUUGUAAUAUGGGGCUUACAUGCCACCAUAAUCAAGGGGAAUUCCAUAUGGUUUCCUUGGCCAUGUGGAAUAUUGUCGGUGACAGUCCCAUGGCAAAGAAAAUUCACUAUUUCCACAGCCAUCCAACAAGGUAACCCUGUGUUCCAGGGUAAACUCCAUCAUGCACCGUAGUGCCUCACCUCACAGCCCAGGGGUACAGCUAUGGAGCUUGAAGAGACACAGUGAGAGAGAAACAAAAUCCACUGCAUAGACCCUCAUUUGUUAGCCCUUCCAAUCACAGAUAAAGGCCUUGUUUCUAUUUCCUACCCAUUCUCUGGCAGGAAGGGCUUCUAGUCUACUGGCUUUCAGGUUUAAUGUAUAUGGAAUACCACCCCCACCUCUUUUGCUCCUUUCCUAGGCCUUCUAGAUCUUAAAAUCACUUAAUGCAGAGCCAGUUCAAAUGGGAGCCUCUCUGCCUUGGGAGUUAUCCCUUUUCAUUCAUAGAUACUCACCCCUAAGCACUGAGGUUUGCAAACUCACUUAUUCUCUGGAGACCAAACAGGGUCAUGAUUUCUACUUAGAGGAAAAGACUUUUCUCAGCAUUUCUAUUCCAAGCCUUCUGCCAGUGUAUGAUUAAGGAUUCAUCUGCUAUUCUCCAUAGGAAGGUUGUCCCUGUUUGUUUGCCAUUGCUAGUAAGAACUGGCCUUACAGUGGGACCAAGUUAGAAUGAGCAUCAUACCCCAGCUUCAUGUCAGUCCUCCUGGCAUUUGCUCCACAGUAAAAAACCAGACGUUGGGUCACCAGUCAGUUCCAUGCUGCCCUGGUCUGCCAGGGGAAGCAGCAGUUCACCCAGAGGGCCCCACUCUGACCCCAGAGAUGGGGCCCAACAAGCUAUCUUGCUCUCUGAGACCAAGGAGGGUCUUGAUAUUCAGUCAGAGGGCAGGUCUUUCCUUUCUAUUGGUCAGUGGCCAGGAUUUCAGUUUUAUAUGGCUGUAGGUUGACAGCCACUUCCCAGAGGCAGGGCCCCUGGUUUCUUUCUAAUACUUGGCCAAUCAGAGCAUUCUUUCCACCAAGGGCAAAGCUGAAGGAGCAUUGUAUUGCAGGCCAAUGGAUAUUGUUCCUUUUUGGGACCCUGUAGCCAAGUAGACUCACUGCAACCACAAACCACCUUUCAUUGCUGGGGAAGGUGCCACAUUGUACCUGUAAACCUCUCUGCCCACCUGGAGCAGCAGGGAUACUUGCUAAUCAGCUAUCUCACUAUCCUCUUGCAUACUCCAAUACCUCAUGCAAUAGUCUUGUUGCUCUUUUGCUCCAAUCACAUAAUACUCAGAGCAGAGAUAAAGUCUUGUCAGCCAUUCUUCACCUAUAGGGCCCUCAGAUUUGUACCCACUUCUCUGUUACAUGGGGCUUCCAUGCCAUUAUCAUCAAGGACUCUACAGGGUUCUCUGCCCCAUGUGUGAUAUUUCUUGACCUAGCCCCAUAGCAAAGGAAAUUCACUCUUCCAAUAGUCAUUGAAAAGGGAACCCUGUCUGACAGGAUAAAUACCACCAUGUACCCGUAAUGUCUCACCUUGCAGCCCAGUGUUGGAGACAUGUUUUCUAUUUCAGCAGUGUAUGGCUAUAGAUUGGUCAGCCAUUUCCCAGUGGCAGGAUUCCUGAUUUCUUUCCAAUAGUUGGUUACUCAGGGCAUCCUUUUUACUCAGGGCAAGGGUGAAGGAGCACUGGGUUGAAGGCUAAUGGAAGUUGCUCUUUCCUGAUACCCUUUAAGAAGGAAACUCACUGUUACCUAAGUUCUUUCAUUGCAACUUCAUUUUUCAAGCAAAUUUUUGUGUUGCCUAUCUUUUUAAGGUUAUGAAUUAAUUUUUCAUUAUGAUAUUUUCCACUAAAUGUUACUUCCUUUAAUUACUCUUUUUUCUUCAUUAAUUUUGAUUGUUGUUUGAAGUUUCUGGCAUUUAUCUAUUAUCUCAUUCUUAUAAUUUGGCCUUUUUCUUUUAGUCCCAUUGAACCAUGCCUUUUCAUACUUAAAUAUAAUAAGCUGUUAACUUUCUAAUUUUAUGUCACUGCCUUACUCAUUGGUUAAAAUGAUCAGGUUGAUGAUAAAUGCUUAACAAAUAUUUUUUAAAAUUUGCAUUGUUUUGGCAUAGAACCAGUCCCUAGGACUCGGGAGAAUCUGUGUCCCAAUGUGGCUGAUCUUACCAGAUCUGUGACUGUGGGCAAGUGAUUAAAACCGCUUUGUUUCCAAAAAAAAGAAAAAGAAAAAAGAAAAGAAAAGCAAUUUUGAAUAGUUCAAAUAUUUAUCUAUUUUCUUUUUCAUUUUCCUUUUUGAGUAAUAAAAAAUAUCUGAUUUGUAGUAAUAGUAGUUAAAAUUGUACAAUCUGUUUCAAAUGUUACAGUAAUUCCAAUAGCCUCACAAGUUCCUCAUUCUCUUAUGACAAUAUUGGAGGCAUAUUUCAUUCUUUCACCUCUAGAAUUGUUUUUGUUGUUUUCAAUUAUCUUAAUUCAGGUUUAUCUUUUGUUUUUUUCCUCCCAUCUUUUCAUUUCCCCAAACUUCUGCUAAAUUCACCUGUAUUUAUCUCAUAUAAAUCUUUAAAUGGUGUUCAUCUUUAUAGUCAUUUUUUCCCCGGAUAUAAUACAUCUUUUAUUUCAACACAAUGCAACCUUUGUUUUAGUUCAAUUUUAUUAGCAUAGUAUUAACACUGAUUUGUUUUGCCAUAUUUUUAGAUUCACGAGCAUGGGUGGGUUGUUUCCAUUUCUUUGCUACAAAGUAUAUUUACCUCACCUAAUUCAAUUUAACAGGAAUUAUUUUUGAUACUCCCCCAUUUUACAGAUGACAAAAUUCAAGUGUUGAGAAUUCCAAAAUUUUGUUGGACUGGCAUAAACGAAUGCUUUGGGACUAUUCAUUUCAUUGGGAGCCUAGAAAAAUGGAAUUGGGAGACUUUGGCAUGUCAAUGUUCAACUGAAGUUUCCCGAGAUCUAAGUUCUAUGAGCUCAGCUAUGUUAAAUAGUCCUACUUCAGGAGAAGACAGCAUCUAAACCAUCCCAGUCCUUUUUCAUCUUAUUGGGCAAGAGGCCUUAUAACCUCUCGGAAAAACUUUUUUCACAAUGUUUUACAAACUUAAUUGUUGAUAACAUUGUUUUUUGUUCUAAAUAUCCUCAAACCAGUUCCCUUCAUAUUCUUCUUCAAAAUGGAGAUGUAGAUUUGUGAAAUACAUCUUCCUAAAUUUCAAUUUCAAGAACAAAUUAUUCCUCAGCAUUUUCUUCUCCAGACUAAACAAGGCCCAUCAUCUUUUAAAACAAACAAACAAACAAACCCGGUGCUGUUCUCAUGUUCUCAUGCUUCUUCAAAAUAAAGGCCCACACAAAAAAAGUAAUUUUUCACCUCUGAAUAAGGCCUAAUCAAUAUGGAAUAUAGUUGAGAAAGCCUUCCUUUCUAGCUUUUGCAUGUGGCAAUGUAGUAUGCGCUUAAUGGUUUGCACAUAGUAGGUACUUAAUAAUAAACAUUGCACGGAGUAGGUGCUUUCAAAUAUUGCACAUAGUAGGCAUUUAAUAAAUUGCACAGAGUAGGUGCUUAAUCAGUGUUUGUUAAAUUGAGAGAAAACAUCUUUCCCUCGUAGUACCUCACAUGGCACUUUGUUUUCACUUCUUUCACAAUUCUUGCUGUCUUUUUAAAAAAUCAUAGUUAUUUGCAUUUGUAUCAUAUCUUUAUUGUAAACUUCUUGAGGGCAAAGAACUAUCUGUCUAAUCUACCAAGCAAAUUGUUCUGCUAUAUAAAUGCUACUAUAUUGCUUAAUCAAUGUUUAAUUUUUGAUUUGAGUAGAAUUGUUUCCUUGUUGAUGCAUCUCUAACAUCAUGUUAGGAUGCCUGUACUGCACGAUUAGCACCUUAUUAUAUAUUAUCCUGUUGUAUCUUAUAGCAUUAUUUUGAGAGAAGGAAAAGCUUCAUAUACUAUAAAACAUUGUAUUCAUGCUAUUAUUGUUACUAUGACAUUGUUAUUUUCUAGUUGCUUUUAUUAUAUAAUUUAGCACUUUAUUGUAUUAGUAUAUAGUGCUUUCUUAUUAUCUACUAAUGUUAUUUUGUGUGUAUAUCCCAUUUUCCCAACUAGAUUGUAAACAUAAGGUAGGCAAUGGCUAUGCAUAACUUGUAAAUCGUAUGUACUCAAUAAAUGCUUAAUGAAUGAU